rnacentral:guide_RNA from 1 species
CAUAAAACUAUCACUAAUUGACGAGUUAUUAGAUAAU